UACGAAGGGGGCUAGCGUUGCUCGGAAUCACUGGGCGUAAAGGGUGCGUAGGCGGGUCUUUAAGUCAGACGUGAAAUCCCUCGGCUUAACCGGGGAACUGCGUCUGAUACUGGAUGGCUUGAGUUCGGGAGAGGGAUGCGGAAUUCCAGGUGUAGCGGUGAAAUGCGUAGAUAUCUGGAGGAACACCGGUGGCGAAGGCGGCAUCCUGGACCGACACUGACGCUGAGGAGCGAAAGCCAGGGGAGCAAACGGG
rnacentral:rRNA from 1 species